GGUGUGCAAUAGACUUACCUCCACGUGGUGCACACUGGGCAACGUAUGCUCAUACGGCAAAAAGUCUAAU
rfam:Hymenolepis nana genome assembly, scaffold: HNAJ_contig0002873